rnacentral:rRNA from 1 species
GGGGAAUUUUCCGCAAUGGGCGAAUAGCCUGACGGAGCAAGACCGCGUGAGGGAAGAAGGCUCUUGGGUUGUAAACCUCUUUUGUCAGGGAAGAAGAAAGUGACGGUACCUGAAGAAUCAGCCUCGGCUAACUCCGUGCCAGCAGCCGCGGUAAUACGGAGGAGGCAAGCGUUAUCCGGAAUUAUUGGGCGUAAAGCGUCCGUAGGUGGCACAUCAAGUCUGCUGUCAAAGGCUGGGGCUUAACCCCGGAAAGGCAGUGGAAACUGAAGUGCUAGAGUGCCGUAGGGGUAGAGGGAAUUCCCGGUGUAGCGGUGAAAUGCGUAGAGAUCGGGAAGAACAUCGGUGGCGAAAGCGCUCUACUGGACGGCAACUGACACUGAGGGACGAAAGCUAGGGGAGCGAAUGGGAUUAGAUACCCCU